rnacentral:rRNA from 1 species
GGACGAACGCUGGCGGCGUGCCUAAUACAUGCAAGUUGAGCGCUGAAGGUUGGUACUUGUACCAACUGGAUGAGCAGCAAACGGGUGAGUAACGCGUGGGGAAUCUGCCUUUGAGCGGGGGACAACAUUUGGAAACGAAUGCUAAUACCGCAUAAAAACUUUAAACACAAGUUUUAAGUUUGAAAGAUGCAAUUGCAUCACUCAAAGAUGAUCCCGCGUUGUAUUAGCUAGUUGGUGAGGUAAAGGCUCACCAAGGCGAUGAUACAUAGCCGACCUGAGAGGGUGAUCGGCCACAUUGGGACUGAGACACGGCCCAAACUCCUACGGGAGGCAGCAGUAGGGAAUCUUCGGCAAUGGACGAAAGUCUGACCGAGCAACGCCGCGUGAGUGAAGAAGGUUUUCGGAUCGUAAAACUCUGUUGGUAGAGAAGAACGUUGGUGAGAGUGGAAAGCUCAUCAAGUGACGGUAACUACCCAGAAAGGGACGGCUAACUACGU